GGUUUUAAAAGUGGCAGUUUUUCCUGCGCUCACACUUCUCUUCCCUCUUGCCGCCAUGUAAGAUUUGUCUGCUUCCCCUUCCGCCGUGAUUGUAUGUUUCCCUGAGGCCUCCCAAGCCAUGUGGAACUAUGGAUAACCUGCUCUCCCAGAACCAUUUAUUAAAGAGUUCAUCCUUUGCCACUGGAUUCCAGGCCUUCCUUCAAGAAAGGAGUACUCUCCUUGAACAGACAAGCUGUGGCCAAGUGAGCUUUCUUCUGCCGCUUGACCUGCAAACCCAACACAAAGAGGCCAGCCUCUCCUCUCCUACCCCCACCUUGAACCUCAAAUCCUGUAAGCAUCCUAUGGCAAGUUCAAAGCAAGGUCCAACAACCCCUCCCAUCCCUCAGAAGCAAGUGUGGCUGAGGCUCCAUCACAGCGUUCCACCAGGGAGGACCCUGAGCUCCGCAAGGCAGCAAAGCAGUUCUGUUUUACGGCCUCUGAAGAGACUUCGUCAUACUGUCACCUCACGCUAACCAGACUUCAGUAAUUGCGGGGGAAUGGGGAGGGGCCCUAAUCUACCUUGGGCCUGCUUCAUACUGAUACCAAGGGCCAGAGGAAUUCAGAGAGCCAUGUGGACUGGAAAGGGCAGAGAAGGUAUCCUGGUGGAGGUGGCAUGUGAUCUGGGCCUUGAAGGGUGGAUAGGAGUUGAAACAGAGAAGAGAAGACACCCUCUGCAGUGGCACCUGCUGGGCCGUGAAUUGGUGGUAGGGUGGACAUAAGCGGCUUGAGCCACAGGCGAUAGGAUGAAAGCCACGUUGGAAGAACAGCUGCGUGGCCCUGCAGUCAGAGGCUGCUCUGGGUUG